UCCAAGAAAAUAUCUUACAAUCAAAGUAUUAAUUACAUAACCGUUGGGGUACAGCUGAAGUUUGAAAGCUACAGGGAUAAUAAAUAUAUCUCAAUGUAGGCCUACUGCUAUGUGUUAGAGUCUGCAUAUCUGAAGGUCAGUAUGUGCAGUAGCUCUGUGAUUUGUACAUCUUACCAACAUUAACACAUUUUAUCAUCUUGUAUUAAUAAUUACUGAAUUACUAUUUUGCAGGAGUAGACGGAUGAAUGAGCCUGACCUGAAUAUGGGCAAGCCCAACAACAGUGUAAGUACAAUGUCUGGAACCACAGGAUGCUCCAAACCCUACAUUCCAACCACGCAAUAAGUAUAUUUUUGUAUAAUAUUGAUUAUUAUUCAGUUAACUGACUUUUUUUUAAAUUAAAGCAAGUUUUGUUUGCAAAACCUGAAAAAUGUCAUUUUAAAUGUUACUGCAUAGAUAGAGCUUAACACAAUCUUCCUUUUUUCUUCUAUGAAAUGUAUUGCAGUGAACAAGCCUUCAGUAAAAUGUUGGAUCAGGUAGCUAUGAGAAUAAGAAGGCAAUCCAAACAUAUUUAGGAAGAAGUGAAGAUGGGAGUGAACUAGAAGAGAUCAGCACUUUCUUCAGUUUUCUUUAUUCUUAUUUUCAGUUAACAUUGUGAGUGUAUACAAAAAAAUAACUGAUUUUAAAUAAUCUGCAUAACAUUACUUAUAAAAAUAAUAAAAAGCAUAAGCAUUCCAGUUAACUUUAUCACUUAGGAAUGAGACUAAUAAACUAAUUAACUAUAAUUUUUUACUUUACUUUUAAAUACA